UACAGAGGGGGCAAGCGUUGUUCGGAAUUACUGGGCGUAAAGGGCGCGUAGGCGGCCUGCUAAGUCGAACGUGAAAUCCCCGGGCUCAACCCGGGAACUGCGUCCGAUACUGGCAGGCUUGAAUUCGGGAGAGGGAUGCGGAAUUCCAGGUGUAGCGGUGAAAUGCGUAGAGAUCGGAAGGAACACCAGUGGCGAAGGCGGCUACCUGGACAGAUACUGACACUGAGGCGCGAGAGCGUGGGGAGCAAACAGG
rnacentral:rRNA from 1 species